AUAUAUUUUUUUUCUUUUAUUUCAGCAUUACAAUCUAUGGUGAAAUAUAUACGUAUAUAAUUUCUUACUUAUUAAAUUAUCAAAAUUAUGGAAAUAUUUGCCCAUAGAUUGUAAAUAAAAAUUUUGUCUUUCCACACAUGCCCUUUUAUAUAGUUUUCUGUUACAGAGAGGUGUCGUUUUCAUGUUUCAAGAUUAAAUAUUGCAAAAUAUCCUUUUAUAUAUCAGUGGGUAUUAACAACAGUGUUGAAAAUAAUUUUUCAAGAUUUGUCAUAUUAUCACAGUGUAUGACAUAAAAAUAAAUUGAUAAAGAUUACGAAUUCAUCAUGCAAAAUUUGUGUUUCAGGUUUUCCAGGUGCUUGGAUUAACAAGAAAUCCAUCUAAAAAUAAUAAUGUGGGAAGAUAUUCUAAUUAGGUAUUGAUGACGAAUGAAGAAUUGAAAUUAUAGAAAAUAAAAAAUUGAAAUAUUCAAUAAAUUUGAACUAAACGUAGUUAAUUUCUGUUUCAGGAAAUAUCAUCCAAAUUGGAAAGGUUCGAUUCUACUCUUUGUUGGUGAAUUAAACAUAGUUAAUUUCUAUUUCGGGAAAUAUCAUCCAAAUUGGCAAGAUUUGAUUCCACUCUUCGUUGGUUGUUCUUUUCGUUUGUGAGAUAUAUAUGUGUGUAUAAAAUAAUUUUUAGUUUAAUAUAUGUUUUAUUUUUAGAAAGUAAUAACAUUAUAAAUUUCUUAUGUCCACAGGUUAUUUGUUUAUUAUAUAAAAUAUGCAUAUUGAUUUUGAUUGUUUCUUGUUUAAUUACAAAAUGUUUUUAAUGUUUUAUGUUCACAGGUGACUGUAAACAGGACAAUGCUAAUUUAAAUAAAAUUAGCACAUUAUUUCGAUUGCUACUUGUUUAAUUAUAAAAUAUUUUGGAUGUUUUAUAUUCACAGGUGGACUAUAAAUGAUGAUUUAUUACAGGAAAUAUGAAAUUCGCAUAUUAUUUUGAUUGCUACCUGUUUAAUCAUUAAAUGUUUUUGACAUUUUAUGUUCACAGGAUUUCAGCAUCGUGUGCAACAAGGUUUCACAUUAGUUUAAUGGGAAUAGAAUUCCAUAAAGGGCUCUAUUCUUAACCGGGUAGGUAGGUCGAUAUUAAACGAAUUCAUAAGUUUUCGUCUAGUCAUGAUCGAUUAGAAAAAAAUUUUUGAUUCGUUUCGCGAUUGAUCUUGUUUCUUUUUUCUAAUUAUAAUUAUAAUUCUAUAAAAUUAUAAUAAUUAUUAUUGAAUAUGUCAUAAUAAUGAUUUUAUAUAAUAGCUUCUAAAGUAAUUCAUAUUAAAAGUAGAGUCUUUAGCCCGUGGGUCUCCGUAUGCAGCAACCUCCAUGCGGUGGGACCUGGAAAUCGAUAUUACUUACGAUAUGUGAUAAAAAUAAAUAACGUAAGUACUGUCGAGCUAAUGGCUGCAUUUAAAUUCAAUCAAAAUUUAUUGUGUUCUAUGAUGAUUUUAACUAUUUUUCCACUUUGUUUAUUUUUCGUAUCUCAAUAGAGAUAUAAAUAGAUUAAUUUCUUAUUUUACAAACUCAUUAUUAUAGUAUAUAUAUACAUAUUCAAUACAUAAAAUUAAAUACAUAUAUACAUAUGCAACAUAUAUUUUUAUUGAUAUAUAUAUAUAUUAUUGAUAACAAAAUUGUAUGUGUAAAUUAAUGUUUGUUUGAAUAAAAAAUUACGUCUAGGCUUUCAAGUAAUUAAGAGGAGUCAGUUGCUGCUAUAUCUUUCGAGAAUGGAUUGUCUUAUCAUAUGUUUUAUUUUUUAUCAGAAAAUGCACAAAUUCUUAAUUAAAAUUUGAAACUUAAUUAUCAUGAACAUUAACAUCUUAGUAAUUAUCUUUUAUCUUGCCUUUACAAUUUUUAUCGUUGAUCUAAUGAUAUCUAUAAUUUUUGUUUAAAUAAUGUAUUUUAUAAAAAAGCAAUUCAUAUUUUAUAUUUUUAUUGAUAGUAAAUAUUCAAGAUUCCUCAAUUAUUCGAUUUCUCGAUUGCAUCAUAUAUCAAAAUGUAGAAUCACGCGUUUAAAUGAUUUAUAGAAAUAGAUUGAUAAUAGAAAUAAAAAGUGCAUUUAUAUGCUGGUACGUCAAACGGGCGUAUUAUAUUAACUUCUAUUGCAUUAUAGCAUUAUAUAUUUUCUUUUUGUUUCAGAUGAUCAUCGUUGAAUUCGCUAAUAUAAUCUAUUUUCGACUUUGCAUACAUAGAAAAUUACAUUUUAUUAAUUUAGGAUAGGGUCUUCUUGUUUCAUAGAUUGGAUUAAUUAAUAGUUCAAUUAAUAAGCAUUUUUUUAUUUGUAUUUGCUCGCGAUAUUAGCAGUGAAAUUGGACAUCAAUUUUUUCGAUUUCGUCAAAAAAGCAUGUAAUGUGAUAUACGUUUUAUGCAUUGCUUCGUACUUGGUCUAUUUAAUCGCGAUUUAUCUCGAUGUAUCGAUGUAGAAGAACAAGAAAAAACGAACAGAAGACAAGCGCGCGCGACGGAUAGAUUCUGGAAAAUGAACAGUAGUUCAUGAUUUAACUUUUUAAUUAGAACAGCCACUUAGAAGGAAUUGUCCGAGGUUUUUUUGAUUAUUCUUUCAUACAAAAUUGAAUAAAUAUUUAAUUAAUUUUUUUGAUAAAAAAAGUCUCAAUAAAGUCAUUGUUUUUGAAAGAAAAAAGUCGAGUAGAAUCAUUGCUAAUAAAAAACAAAGAGACUUGUAGAUUCAUAGCCCGUAGGAUCUAGAAUAGGUUAAUAAAUUUUUAGAUCAGGGUUUUCAGCUUUUAACAAACUAAUUCCUGUUUUUCACCCCCACCCAUGUUUUCUGCAUUCUCCUCUAUGCGUGUUCCCAGGUGUUACUCGUAUGAGUGAGAAAUUGUUAGUAUGGGUUUAAUUUUAAAUUUUCCUAUAUUGGUGACUGUCAUAGCGUUAGUGUUUGCACACGAUAUACCCUGCAUCUGUGUGUUCGUGGUAGGUGGUGCAUUGUAUAUUGUUUCGUGAUUAUUUAUAAAUAAAUACGAAUAAAACAAAUAUACUAAUACAUUAUUAUUUAAAAUACUAUACUAAUAUAUUACAAUUCAUAUCGUUUUGCAUAGUAAAGUCAGCAUAUAUUGUAAGUGAAUUGAAAUCGUAUAUUGAAUGAAAUUAUUCAAUAUCAAUAUAGUGAACGAAAGCAUAUAUUGAAAGGGAAAUAUUCGCAAGUGAACGUCAGAAAAAUGGAAUUUCGAACGAAACCCACCUCAGCGGAAGAACGAAACCCACCUAAGGCCCACAUCCGAGGGCCUCUCCCAAGGGUCUCACCCGAUAGAAGAUAGAGUACUUAAUCAACAAUUUAACCAAAAAUUCAAAAUAAUUGUUUUAAUUAUAAUAUGCAGCCAUUCGCCCGGUAGUACUUCCGCUAUAUAAUUAUUUAAAUAUCUAUAUAUAAUUUAGUUAUAAACUUUUGAUGUAAUUUAGAUACAAUUUCAAUAUAUAGCAAGUACUACCGACCCAGGUCCCACCGCUUGGAGGUUGCUGCAUCUGGGGACCCACGGGCUAACGGUGACUCUACUCUAAAGUUCGCGUGACCGGCGUGAUCAAAUAAUCGACGUUCCAUAAAACGAAGUCCCCGGUAGGACUUUUAAUCGCGCCCGAACACUCCCGUGAGUGUUAAAAUAACGGUGACUCUACUCUAAAUUCGCGUCCGCGGCGUUCUAUGCACUAACCAAGAAAUCAGGCGGCUAACUGAAGGAGGAUCCGUCCACUCUUACGGAUAGCAAACCACACUACUCGGCAGCACAUAAACCGACUCACUAGCACAACCGGUCAUUUAUUCGUUUUUAGCAAUCAAACGUAGUCCAUAUCGGUAGGACUAUAAAUCGCGCCCGAACACUCCCGUGAGUGUUAGAAGAACGGUGACUCUACUUUAAAUUCGCGUUCGCGGCGUUCUAUGCACUAACCAAGAAAUUAGGCGGCUAACUGGCGGAGGAUCAGUCCACUCUUACGGAUAGCAAACCACACUACUCGGAAGCACAUAAACCGACUCACUAGCACGACCGGUCAUUUAUUCGUUUUUAGCAAUCAAACGUAGUCCAUAUCGGUAGGACUUUCAAUCGCGCCCGAACACUCCCGUGAGUGUUAGAAGAACGGUGACUCUACUUUAAAUUCGCGUUCGCGGCGUUCUAUGCACUAACCAAGAAAUCAGGCGGCUAACUGGCGGAGGAUCAGUCCACUCUUACGGAUAGCAAACCACACUACUCGGAAGCACAUAAACCGACUCACUAGCACGACCGGUCAUUUAUUCGUUUUUAGCAAUCAAACGUAGUCCAUAUCGGUAGGACUUUCAAUCGCGCCCGAACACUCCCGUGAGUGUUAGAAGAACGGUGACUCUACUUUAAAUUCGCGUUCGCGGCGUUCUAUGCACUAACCAAGAAAUCAGGCGGCUAACUGGCGGAGGAUCAGUCCACUCUUACGGAUAGCAAACCACACUACUCGGAAGCACAUAAACCGACUCACUAGCACGACCGGUCAUUUAUGCGUUUUUAGCAAUCAAACGUAGUCCAUAUCGGUAGGACUUUCAAUCGCGCCCGAACACUCCCGUGAGUGUUAGAAGAACGGUGACUCUACUUUAAAUUCGCGUUCGCGGCGUUCUAUGCACUAACCAAAAAAUCUGGCGGCUAACUGGCGGAGGGUGAGUCCACUCUUACGGAUAGCAAACGAUACUAUUCGGCAGCACAUAAACCGACACACUAGCACGACCGGUCAUUUAUUCUUUUUUAGCAAUCAAACGUAGUCCAUAUCGGUAGGACUUUCAAUCGCGCCCGAACACUCCCGUGAGUGUUAGAAGAACGGUGACUCUACUUUAAAUUCGCGUUCGCGGCGUUCUAUGCACUAACCAAAAAAUCUGGCGGCUAACUGGCGGAGGGUGAGUCCACUCUUACGGAUAGCAAACGAUACUAUUCGGCAGCACAUAAACCGACACACUAGCACGACCGGUCAUUUAUUCUUUUUUAGCAAUCAAACGUAGUCCAUAUCGGUAGGACUUUUAAUCGCGCCCGAACACUCCCGUGAGUGUUAGAAGAACGGUGACUCUACUUUAAAUUCGCGUUCGCGGCGUUCUAUGCACUAACCAAGAAAUCAGGCGGCUAACUGGCGGAGGAUCAGUCCACUCUUACGGAUAGCAAACCACACUACUCGGAAGCACAUAAACCGACUCACUAGCACGACCGGUCAUUUAUGCGUUUUUAGCAAUCAAACGUAGUCCAUAUCGGUAGGACUUUCAAUCGCGCCCGAACACUCCCGUGAGUGUUAGAAGAACGGUGACUCUACUUUAAAUUCGCGUUCGCGGCGUUCUAUGCACUAACCAAAAAAUCUGGCGGCUAACUGGCGGAGGGUGAGUCCACUCUUACGGAUAGCAAACGAUACUAUUCGGCAGCACAUAAACCGACACACUAGCACGACCGGUCAUUUAUUCUUUUUUAGCAAUCAAACGUAGUCCAUAUCGGUAGGACUUUUAAUCGCGCCCGAACACUCCCGUGAGUGUUAGAAGAACGGUGACUCUACUUUAAAUUCGCGUUCGCGGCGUUCUAUGCACUAACCAAGAAAUCAGGCGGCUAACUGGAGGAGGGUCAGUCCACUCUUACGGAUAGCAAACCACACUACUCGGCAGCACAUAAACCGACUCACUAGCACGACCGGUCAUUUAUUCGUUUUUAGCAAUCAAACGUAGUCCAUAUCGGUAGGACUUUUAUUCGCGCCCGAGAACACCACGUCUCUGCCCGCCGACAAAGGCGUGAGAGUUCUUCCUAUCCUUCCCGUAUUCGCGUCUAGCAAUCGAUUAUGAAACGAACAUUUCGACGAUUUAUGGGAUCACCCUCGCCGAUAUGUCGAAGUCCAUGAACUGGAGGAGAAGCAGAAGAGAAAGAGAAGAAAGGAAAGCCGGAACAUGCGCGCAUGUGAAGAGGAUAGAAUUCGGAAGAGAAAAGAGAAGGCAUAUCCGGCAAAGAACACGUGCACGUGUGAGAACGAUGAAAUGGAAAAGAAAAGAUGGACAUCGAAUGUAGCUACACUCGACCAAAACCGGAGUACGAAAAUCGAGCUCGAUUUUUCGAUACUGAAAGGAGGAAACCCGCACAGAAGCCCACACCUAUGAGCCCAACUCAUAGGUCCCACCCGAAAGAAAUUAGAAUAAUGAGCCUUGAGUAUUUAUUUCCGAGUAUAGGGAAGAUGUAUGAAACAAUGUAAAAUGCACGAAGUUCGAUGUUUAAUUGGAAUUGCAUAGAAAAGAUUUUGGAAAAAUCUUAAAGAACGCAGCCAUUCGCAAGAUGAUACUUGCAGCCUACAAGAUUUCGACAUAUCACAAGUACUUCCGACCCAGGUGCCACAGCGUGGAGGUUGCUGCUUUUGGAGACCCACGGACUAACGGUGGCUCUACUCUUUACUACUUCUACUACUAUCAAGAAAGCAAAGCAUGAGGGCGAUCUCCACUCCCGACGAAUUCAAGCCAUCAAACGCUAAAAUUGCAGCCCCUUGCGUCUCCGCAUUUUUGAACCGACUUACGCAUAGCUCAACAAUCCAACAUCGAAAGCUUCGAUCACCACUUGAGCACAACCGGACAAACGCCGGAAUCCAAAAUUGAAUCUACCGCAGUUACGAUACUUACGCGAGCAUUCCAGAAACACUCACACGAAUAUGUUGAAUACGUUAGAGCCAAUUUAGGACUUUGUCGCGCUCGAGAACACCAACGCCUUUGCUAGCCGACAUAAGCGAGUGUCCUUCUAUCUUGCCCGAACGGGAGAAAAGAAAGUCUUCCACGCCUGAGGUAGAAAGAUUCUUUAAACACCCGUGUAAAAAUCUAAGUCCCUCGAUGGUCCUUGGGUGAUGCAACGAUUGCUGACACCUGGAAAUAAACGGACUAACGAGGAUUCUAUUCUAAAAUCCACGAACCGAGAUGUUUUUCCGCUUUGGGAGUUUCGAGCUUCUCAGCAAACUGGAGAUGUAUAAAAUCCCGCUUACAGAUUGCUCCACCGUCCACACCGUCGGCUUCAGACAUCUCGAGACACGACCAGUCGUGUCUACAUUUCGAUUUCAAAAAUCAAAACGGAGUCCUCGGUAGGACUAAAUCUCGCGAUCGCGAACACCCAUACGCGUGCCGGCCGUCACGCGCGUGAGUGUUUUACCUAUCAUUCGCGUACAGAAGCAAGGAGACAUACCCUUCCUGCAUAUAAUAUAGAUUAUAUGCAGAGAGGUUCCUUUAACUUCCGUGUAAAAAUCCCACGUCGAUAGGUCCAGCGAUCACCUAACUUGAAACAGAAAAAGGACAACAGAAUAUAUUACAUAUAUUUAAAAGAAUAUAUUUAUAUAUAUAGUAAAAUAUGAGUAAAAAUUGAAAAGAUAACACAAAUUAAAUAUAAAAGCAAAAAUUAAAAAGUUAAUAAAAAUUAAAUAUAAGAGCAAAAAUUAUAUGUAAUAUUAUAUGCAAAAGACGUUUAUAUUCAAAAAGAUCCCUGUAAAAGUUUAAUUUCACGAUGAUCCAUUCCUCGAUGAUCGCUCGUUCGAUGAUCGCUCCCUCGAUGAUCUAACCUGAAACAUAAAAGGAGUAAAAAAAAAGUGGAGAUGAAUGAAAAAGAAGAAAGGAAAAGAAACGAUGUAGAGAAAAAUAGAAAAAGAAACGUGGAGUAUUUGCGUAAAUGAACGUGAGAAAAAUAAAAUUCCGGACGAUUAUUUUGCAUCUCGAAAAUCAUUUCGCUCGAGGAAGAUCAGAGUACCAUUAUUGAGUUCGAUUUUUCCCUAGUGAAAGAACCAUACCCGCCUAAGGCCCACACCCGAGGGCCCAUCCCAAGGGUCCCACCCGAUAGAAGAUAGAGUACUUAAUCAACAAUUUAACCAAAAAUUCAAAAUAAUUGUUUUAACUAUAAUAUGCAGCCAUUCGCCCGGUAGUACUUCCGCUAUAUAAUUAUUUAAAUAUCUAGAUAUAAUGUAGUUAUAAACUUUUGAUGUAAUUCAGAUACAAUUUCAAUAUAUUGCAAGUGCUACCGACCCAGGUCCCACCGCUUGGAGGUUGCUGCAUCUGGGGACCCACGGGCUAACGGUGACUCUACCCUAAAGUUCGCGUGACCGGCGUGAUCAAAUAAUCGACGUUCCGUAAAACGAAGUUUCCGGUAGGACUUUUAAUCGCGCCCGAACACUCCCGUGAGUGUUAAAAUAACGGUGACUCUACUUUAAAUUCGCAUUCGCGGCGUUCUAUGCACUAACCAAGAAAUCAGGCGGCCAAUUGGAGUAGGAUCUGUCCAUUCUUACGGAUAGCAAACCACACUACUCGGCAGCACAUAAACCGACUCACUAGCACGAUCGGUCAUUUAUUCGUUUUUAGCAAUCAAACGUAGUCCAUAUCGGUAGGACUUUUAAUCGCGCCCGAACACUCCCGUGAGUGUUAGAAGAACGGUGACUCUACUGUAAAUUCGCGUUCGCGGCGUUCUAUGCAUUAACCAAGAAAUCAGGCGGCUAACUGGAUGAGGGUGGGUCCACUCUUACGGAUAGCAAACCACACUACUCGGCAGCACAUAAACCGACUCACUAGCACGAUCGGUCAUUUAUUCGUUUUUAGCAAUCAAACGUAGUCCAUAUCGGUAGGACUUUUAAUCGCGCCCGAACACUCCCGUGAGUGUUAGAAGAACGGUGACUCUACUGUAAAUUCGCGUUCGCGGCGUUCUAUGCAUUAACCAAGAAAUCAGGCGGCUAACUGGAUGAGGGUGAGUCCACUCUUACGGAUAGCAAACCACACUACUCGGCAGCACAUAAACCGACUCACAAGCACGAUCGGUCAUUUAUUCGUUUUUAGCAAUCAAACGUAGUCCAUAUCGGUAGGACUUUUAAUCGCGCCCGAACACUCCCGUGAGUGUUAGAAGAACGGUGACUCUACUGUAAAUUCGCGUUCGCGGCGUUCUAUGCACUAACCAAGAAAUCGGGCGGCUAACUCGAGAAGGAUCAGCCCACUCUUACGGGUAGCAAACCACAAUACUCGGCAGCACAUAAACCGACUCACAAGCACGAUCGGUCAUUUAUUCGUUUUUAGCAAUCAAACGUAGUCCAUAUCGGUAGGUCUUUUAAUCGCGCCCGAACACUCCCGUGAGUGUUAGAAGAACGAUGACUCUACUUUAAAUUCGCGUUCGCGGCGUUCUAUGCACUAACCAAGAAAUCAGGCGGCUAACUGGAGGAGGGUGAGUCCACUCUUACGGAUAGCAAACCACACUACUUGGCAGCACAUAAACCGACUCACUAGCACGACCGGUCAUUUAUUCGUUUUUAGCAAUCAAACGUAGUCCAUAUCGGUAGGACUUUUAUUCGCGCCCGAGAACACCACGUCUCUGCCCGCCGACAAAGGCGUGAGCGUUCUUCCUAUCCUUCCCGUAUUCGCGUCUAGCAAUCGAUUAUGAAACGAACAUUUCGACGAUUUAUGGGAUCACCCUCGCCGAUAUGUCGAAGUCUGAUGAACUGGAGGAGAAGCAGAAGAGAAAGAGAAGAAAAGAAAGCCGGAACAUGCGCGCAUGUGAAGAGGAUACAAUUCGGAAGAGAAAAGAGAAGGCAUAUCCGGCAAAGAACACGUGCACGUGUGAGAACGAUGAAAUGGAAAAGAAAAGAUGGACAUAGAAUGUAGCUACAUUCGACCAAAACCAGAGUACGAAAAUCGAGCUCGAUUUUUCGAUACUGAAAGGAGGAAACCCGCACAGAAGCCCACACCCACGAGCCCAACUCAUAGGUCCCACCCGAAAGAAAUUAGAAUAAUGAACCUUGAGUAUUUAUUUCCGAGUAUAGGGAAGAUGUAUGAAACAAUGUAAAAUGCACGAAGUUCGAUGUUUAAUUGGAAUUGCAUAGAAAAGAUUUUGGAAAAAUCUUAAAGAACGCAGCCAUUCGCAAGGUGAUACUUGCAGCCUACAAGAUUUCGACAUAUCACAAGUACUUCCGACCCAGGUGCCACCGCGUGGAGGUUGCUGCUUUUGGAGACCCACGGACUAACGGUGGCUCUACUCUUUACUACUUCUACUACUAUCAAGAAAGCAAAGCAUGGGGGCGAUCUCCACUCCCGAUCCGUCCUUGGCCGAUGAAACGCUUCCGGCACGUGGAAAUACACGAGCUAACGGGGUUUCUACUCUAAAGUCCACGAUCCGAGAUGCCUUUCCGCUUCGGGAGCUUCGAGCUUCUCAGCAAACUGGAGAUGUAUAAAACCCCGCUUACAGAUUGCUCCACCGUCCACACCGUCGGCUUCAGACAUCUCGAGACACGACCGGUCGUGUCUACAUUUCGAUUUCAAAGAACAAAAUGAAGUCCUCGGUAGGACUAAAUCUCGCGAUCGCGAACACCCAUACGCGUGCCGGCCGUCACGCGCGUGAGUGUUUUCCCUAUCAUUCGCGUACGGAAGCAAGGAGACAUACCCUUCCUGCAUAUAAUAUAGAUUAUAUGCAGAGAGGUUCCUUUAACUUCCGUGUAAAAAUCCCACGACGAUAGGUCCAGCGAUCAUCUAACUUGAAACAGAAAAAGAAUAAAACAAAAAGAGAUAAUUAUAUACAAAAAUAAUAUGCAAUAUUAUAUGGAAAAAGCCAUUUAUAUAUAAAAAUGCAUUUAAAAUCAAAAUGCAAUUAAAUAAUGAUAUUAAUAAUUAAUAAAUGAAUUAAUGAUUAAAUAAAAUAAAAUAAAAAACAAAUAUACAAUUAAAACUUCCCUGUAAAAAUUAAUUUCACGAUGAUCGGUCCUUCGAUGAUCUAACCUGAAACAGAGAAAGAAUAUAAAAAGAAAUGAAUAUAUGAGCAAAAAUUAAAAAGAUAAUAAAAAUUAAAUAUAAAAGCAAAAAUUAAAAAAAUCACGAAAAUUAAAUAUAAAAACCAAAAUUAUAUGCAAAAUUAUAUACAAAAACUUUCCUGUAAUAAUUUAUUUUCACGAUGAUCGGUCCCUCAAUGAUCGGUCUCUCGAUAGUCUAACCUGAAAUAGAAAAAAGUAAAAGAAUAAGAGAAAAGAAAAAAGAAAAAAGAGAAGAGGAAAAGAAAAGAAAAGAAAAGGAAAAAACGAAGAAAAGAAACACGGAACAUGUCCGAGAGAAAGAUAGAACUAAGAAAAAUGGAUAAGUAUCUCGAAGAUCAUUUCACUAGACAAAAUUCAGAGUAUCAUAAAUGAGUUUAAUUUUAUUCCUAACGAGAGAACGAAACCCGCCUAAGGCCCACACCCGAGGGCCCCUCCCAAGGGUCCCACCCGAGAGAAACUAAAAUAAUUAAUCUCGAAUGAUUGUUUUAACUAUUACAUAGCUAUACGUUUCAAUGAAUAGAAAUGACUAUGAAUUAUAUUGCUGGUGAAGAUGUUUGAAACAAUGUGAAAUGUAAUUUGGAAUUACAUAGAAAAGAUUUUGGAAAAUUCGUUGAAGCAUACAGCCAUUUGCUCGAUAAUACUUGUAUCCCAUAAAAUUUUGAUGUAUCUACAAGUAUCACCGACCCAGGUCCCACCGCGUGGAGGUUGCUGCAUCUUGGGACCCACGGGCUAACGAGGAAUCUACUCUAAAAUCCGCGAACCGAGAUGCCUUUCCGCUUCGGGAGCUUCGGGCUUCUCAGCAAACUGGAGAUGUAUAAAACCCCGCUUACAGAUUGCUCCACCGUCCACACCGUCGGCUUCAGACAUCUCGAGACACGACCGGUCGUGUCUACAUUUCGAUUUCAAAGAACAAAACGAAGUCCUCGGUAGGACUAAAUCUCACGAUCGCGAACACCCAUACGCGUGCCGGCCGUCACGCGCGUGAGUGUUUUCCCUAUCAUUCGCGUACGGAAGCAAGGAGACAUACCCUUCCUGCAUAUAAUAUAGAUUAUAUGCAGAGAGGUUCCUUUAACUUCCGUGUAAAAAUCCCACGACGAUAGGUCCAGCGAUCAUCUAACUUGAAACAGAAAAAGAAUAAAACAAAAAGAGAUAAUUAUAUACAAAAAUAAUAUGCAAUAUUAUAUGGAAAAAGCCAUUUAUAUAUAAAAAUGCAUUUAAAAUCAAAAUGCAAUUAAAUAAUGAUAUUAAUAAUUAAUAAAUGAAUUAAUGAUUAAAUAAAAUAAAAUAAAAAACAAAUAUACAAUUAAAACUUCCCUGUAAAAAUUAAUUUCACGAUGAUCGGUCCUUCGAUGAUCUAACCUGAAACAGAGAAAGAAUAUAAAAAGAAAUAAAUAUAUGAGCAAAAAUUAAAAAGAUAAUAAAAAUUAAAUAUAAAAGCAAAAAUUAAAAAAAUCACGAAAAUUAAAUAUAAAAACCAAAAUUAUAUGCAAAAUUAUAUACAAAAACUUUCCUGUAAUAAUUUAUUUUCACGAUGAUCGGUCCCUCAAUGAUCGGUCUCUCGAUAGUCUAACCUGAAAUAGAAAAAAGUAAAAGAAUAAGAGAAAAGAAAAAAGAAAAAAGAGAAGAGGAAAAGAAAAGAAAAGAAAAGGAAAAACGAAGAAAAGAAACACGGAACAUGUCCGAGAGAAAGA